GAUUUCACACCACUGUGCCUUAACCCUAUGGAGUCGCUGCCCGCCGUGCGGCGUACAAGCAUGUGACGCAUUAAUAAGGCUUCGUAAUAACAUGGACGCAUACCGAGUUUUCAUUUCGACUCUGUUGGACAGCACGGACUUCAAACUUUAUAAAAGUGGUGUUUUUAUAUUGGUUUUGUGGUUAUUUACUUCAAAAUAAAGCCAGAAAUAAGA